AAACACUGUACUACAUCCAGUGCCCAAGAUUUGUAACCACGUUAAUCUCACUGGACAAAGAUGGGAGAUUGAAACAGGAGCCCCUGCGAUGGGGGAACAGAGCCAGGGAGCAGGGGUUGGACAGAACCCAGGUUUGAGAAAACAACCUUGUGAACCUUCUAUUGGAGCAGCAAUAAAGAUCUGAGCUAAGUGUCGAGGGAGGCUGAGGAGGUGGUCACUAAGUCUGUCUUAGGCAUCCCAGGGUCUCCUCAGAGUCCAAGCCUGAAGUCCACUGCAGGGGUCACCAGCCACCUGUGGCCACAUUGGAAUGUGGCCAUUCUGAAUUGAGCUUUUAAAACAGAUUUUUUAACCUGGAGUCCAAGGAGUCCCAGGAAAUCCACAGACGAGAUUCAAUGGAUCCUUGAAAUCCCUAAAAUUAAAUACAAAGCGGGGAUUGAUGACCAAAGAAGGCAGCUAUAAUGUUUUAUUCUCAAGAUGAUGGUUACUCAUCUUAGAAUAAAAACAACAACAACAAAAAAUAACAGAUGAAUGGGAAGAGCCCAAUCAAAGCUUUAUUCUACUCCUCAACAACUCAGGAGUUAAGCCUAAAGCUGCAGAUGAAAAUUUUGCCACCAUGAAGAAAAGAAGAAAUCAGAAUUGGAUUCUUUCUGAACUUUUCCUUUACAGUAGCCAGUAUAUGCCCUUUCCUACUUGAGCAAGUAUAAACUGGGUUUCUGUGAUUUGCAACCAAGUGUCCUGACAAACACAAGGAUGAAAGACAACUGUGUCUCAAUAAAGGAAAAAUAGUUUAUUUUUAUGAGUGGUGGAUUUAAAAAACCUACAUUACUGUGACAAGAGUACCUUAAAACAUUUAAGUCUACAAAAGGCACUUAGGGACUUUAUAGCAAACUCUACACUUAUAAUGAAAAGCCAGACCAGAUCAUUUUAAAAAAACGUUACUGCACGAGAUAAUGGCACAUCCACUCGUUCAAUUAACAUUUAUUGAGUGUCUUCAGGGGUUUUAGACUUGUGCAAUAAAAAUGAUAAAAACGUAUUCUUUGGUUUGAGCUGGUCCAUCCAAGGUCGUUCCAUAAAGAGCAGCUGUGUAUGCUGUUCAGACUAAUUGUGUGAAGCUGGAGAGGCCAGGUGUUUCUGUCUGGCCCAGCAGCUGCACUUUGCGGUAAGGGCACCACCUGAAUUUCAGUCUGGCCAUAAAAUGAGGCUGAAGAAACAGCACCUUGCAUGAGCUUUUAGGUGAAAGGCAGAACAG
rnacentral:lncRNA from 10 species